GAUGAGGUGGCCCAGUGGUUAAGGUGAUGGACUAUUAAUCCAUUGUGCUCUGUAUGCAUGGGUUCAAAUCCCAUCCUCACUGGAUGCA